rnacentral:rRNA from 2 species
CACCGCGGUUAUACGAGAGGCCCAAGUUGACAGACAUCGGCGUAAAGAGUGGUUAAGUUAAAAUUCACACUAAAGCCGAACGUCCUCCAGGCUGUUAUACGCACCCGAAGAUAAGAAGUUCAAUCACGAAAGUGGCUUUAUUUAAUCUGAACCCACGAAAGCUACGGCA